AUCCUUUGUAGUUCAUAGGCGUGAUGAGGGCGUUUUCGCGCUCAUGCGUGAGACGAGCCUCCCUCCAACCUUGGUAUGCACCAGCACGGGUCCUGUCUGACG